GGGCGAGUGGUGAAAUUGGCAGACACGCAAGACUUAGGAUCUUGUGCCGCAAGGCUUGCGGGUUCAAAUCCCGCCUCGCCCACCA
rnacentral:tRNA from 1 species